rnacentral:lncRNA from 1 species
AAAAAAAAGGAAGUGACCACUUUUCUUGCACAGACUAAAAAACCCAGGCUGGCAUUUUUAGGUUGGGAAACCACUGAAUCGGUCAAGUCUGACAGUCAAGUGAGUUAAAAAACAAAGUAUGGAGCAUGAAUUUCCCUAUACCAUCUGCUGUGCUAAUUAACAGUCCUGCCUCAGUUGAGUCUUGAUCUGAAGUUUAUUUUGUUUCAGUUCCUUGUGUGCAUCCACCAUGCUGGUCC